rnacentral:rRNA from 1 species
UACAGAGGUCCCAAGCGUUGUUCGGAUUCAUUGGGCGUAAAGGGUGUGUAGGUGGCGCGCUAAGUCGGGUGUGAAAUUUCGGAGCUUAACUCCGAAACUGCAUUCGAUACUGGCGUGCUUGAGGACUGGAGAGGAGACUGGAAUUUACGGUGUAGCAGUGAAAUGCGUAGAUAUCGUAAGGAAGACCAGUGGCGAAGGCGGGUCUCUGGACAGUUCCUGACACUGAGACACGAAGGCCAGGGGAGCAAACGGG